AUUGUGAUGAGGACAAUCUCUAAGUAGCCCUUGAACCUCUCCCAAGCUGAGUAUAAAGACUCCCCAGCUUUCUGUUUUAAGGCGAAUAUCUCACUUAUAAUCUU
rnacentral:snoRNA from 1 species